UUUUCUUAUGUCGUUAUGUCCAUGUCGUUAUGUCGAAGAUAAGAGUGCGCGCGCCCAUGUCGUUAUGUCGAUAUGUCGCUAGUGUGCACUAGGCAUUACAUUGCUUACUUUACUUAUUCUAUUCAUGAUUUAACUCACGCACAGGCCUCUGCUUCCUUCUCCCUACGCUGUUACUUUGGUAGUGGGAAUGAGGCAGAAAGGUCUUAUGCCUAGUGCACACUAGCAACAUAACAACAUAACGACAUGGGCGCGCGCACUAUGUUUAUCCCGACAUAACGACAUGGACAUCAUGAAAUAAAAGAAAAAAAAACAAACAUGUUUUUUUUCUCUUAUGUCGUUAUGUCCAUGUCGUUAUGUUUGCAAUGACCAAAUGGUAUCGUGACAAAGAUGACACUGAGACGGAGAUCAACCUUGUUCUUGUCAUUUCUAUCUGAGUUUUGCUUAUACAUUAAGGGUGGUGGGACAUAUUUCGUUAUGCCUAGGCACACUAGCGACAUAUCGACAUAAAGACAUGAGCACGCGCACAUCUUCGACAUAACGACAUAAGAGAAAAAACAUGAUUUUUUCUUUUAUGUCAUUAUGUCCAUGUCGUUAUGUCGAGCUAAACAUACUGCGCGCGCCCAUGUCGUUAUGUUGCUAGUGUGCACUAGGCAUUACUUGGCGAUUCGGUUGUUAGGCGCGCGGGCGAUCAUCCGGGAAGCUCACAUUUUUAGGGGGGGGGGGGGCAGAUCGAAUGGCGGGAAAACAAUUAACGCGCGGCGGCAUUUUUUGCUUGGAAAACAAAUGCCCAAAACAUUUGCGAGAAAAGCGUAAUAAACAGGAAAUAACGUAAAAUAAAAAUGGGCAAGCAUGAGUUUUUACCUAGGGCACCUACUUAGCGACCUUAAAAAGUGCAGAUUUGAGCAAGAAAAGAGUUGUUUCAAUGCGCAUUUCACUGUUCAUAAGCGGGAGAAAAGUCGAUAUUUUGAUAUAAAAAUUCGCAAUGUUCGCAUCAGUAACCAGGCUUUAUCACAAUAUUCAAUUGCGCCAGCGGAUUAUUUCAUUUCAAAAUUUUGGCGGUCGGCGGUUAACCGCCUCAGCGUUACGCGUGUUAUAACUUUGUGUUUUGCCUCUACCUCGAAUUCCUAUCUUCUUCAAGACGCAGAUACAGUGGAAUGCAUAUUAUAAAGUUAAUGGAAAAGGGACUACAAGGACUACAGUAUGAUGUUUGUGGUGAGUAGUAAUCAGAACCAAUACUAUAGAUAAGUCUGUAAGUGUAAAAUUAGUAUAUAUUAUUUGUCAUGCCUUUAACUUAGUAGGUGCUCCACAAGAGCCUGGAUAGCUUUGAGUGUCUAGGCCCUCAACCCUGCUAGCAGAGCUUUCUUCCUGUUUGUAAAUGUGCUUUCGCGUGUUCGUGUAUUAACACACCCCUUUGUAACAGACGCGAAAUAACAGAUAUACUAUUAUAACCGCGCUGAUACGAACUUGUUUUAACACAGGUUUUACAAUUCUUUCGAACCCUGAAAAGCCAAAAAACAUGGACUAGAAAUAGCUUUUUAGAAAUUGAAAACAAGCAAAUUGCCAAAUGUAUAUGCCUUUUAUUUGAAAGCGUUGAUAUCGAUGUACUCAAAAUAUUUUGAUAGAUCAAAAUUACGUGCAAGCGCCGUCGAACUUGCAUGUUAGAUCACCCUUCUAUAGAUACAUACUAAAAAGUACAUGUUUUAUCGAAACUGGUGCUUCCAAUAAAAUGCCAAAUUCGGCAUUAGCUGGCUUGGUAUUUCAAACAGCUAUAUUGUUGUAACUGUGGUUUCUGGCUUUUUAGGAUUCGAUGGAUUACAAAUAGCAGCGCAACAAGUCUUGGUUUGAAUUUCAUAAACAAAUUAUAAACCAUCGAACCCGCAAAACUUAAAACACAAUAAAUAUGUCUUUUUGAUAAAAUUCUAAUAGAAUGGUUCAUAAACCACUGGAAAACUCUUUAGCGUAUUCAUCACUAAUACACCCCAAAUUCAUUGUUCCCUUUUGUUCUGGCUUGACUACAUACUACACUCUGAAUAUUACAAUUUGUUGCACAGGUUUAUAAAUUUUUAUUUUUUUAAUAAAUCAGUUUCUUAUUAAACUUAGUACUGAUACUUAGUACUGCCUCACUAAGUGCUGAUUAUUGAUGUAACGCGAAAUUAGCUAUAGAACGUAUUUAUGUUUUUUAUCACUGGCUAGCAACCCAACUACUACUAACUAUGUAUGCAUGUUAUGGGAUUUGUUAUUCUGAGGACAUUAUGCACUUGUCUUUUACAUUUCACUGACUUACAUGUAAAAAAAAAUUGUUAAUAAACUAUUUUUAACAUGAA